rnacentral:rRNA from 1 species
AAAGGAAUUGACGGGGCCCCGCACAAGCGGUGGAGUAUGUGGUUUAAAUUCGAUGCAACGCGAAGAACCUUACCAGGGCUUGACAUGUUGGUGGUAGGAAGCCGAAAGGUAACCGACCCUUCGGGGAGCCUUCACAGGUGCUGCAUGGCUGUCGUCAGCUCGUGUCGUGAGAUGUUGGGUUAAGUCCCCGCAACGAGCGCAACCCCUACCCUUUAGUUGCCAUCAGUUCGGCUGGGAACUCUAGGGGAACUGCCGGUGACAAAACCGGAGGAAGGUGGGGAUGACGUCAAGUCCUCAUGGCCCUUAUGUCCUGGGCUACACACGUACUACAAUGGUCGGUACAAUGAGUCGCAAUACCGCGAGGUGGAGCCAAUCUCAAAAAACCGGCCUCAAUUCAGAUUGGAGUCUGCAACUCGACUCCAUGAAGUUGGAAUCGCUAGUAAUCGCGGAUCAGCAUGCCGCGGUGUAUUCGUUCCCAGGGCUUGUACACACCGCCCGUCACACC